AGAAUGAACGCUGGCGGCGUGCUUAACACAUGCAAGUCGAACGGAAUCCAAGGAGCUUGCUCUGGAAGAUUUAGUGGCGAACGGGUGAGUAUCACGUGAGCAACCUGCCCCGAAGACUGGGAUAACACCGGGAAACCGGUGCUAAUACCGGAUACCUUCCAAUGACCGCAUGGUCGAUGGAAGAAAUGUUUUUCGCUUCGGGAGGGGCUCGCGGUCCAUCAGCUUGUUGGCGGGUAACGGCCCACCAAGGCUUCGACGGAUAGCUGGUCUGAGAGGACGAUCAGCCACACUGGAACUGAGACACGGUCCAGACUCCUACGGGAGGCAGCAGUGGGGAAUCUUGCGCAAUGGACGAAAGUCUGACGCAGCAACGCCGCGUGAGGGACGAAGGUUUUCUGAAUUGUAAACCUCUUUCGACAGGGACGAUAAUGACGGUACCUGUAGAGAAGCACCGGCCAACUAUGUGCCAGCAGCCGCGGU
rnacentral:rRNA from 1 species